rnacentral:rRNA from 1 species
AUUGAACGCUGGCGGCAGGCUUAACACAUGCAAGUCGUACGCGGGGCGGACGGGUGAGUAAUGCUUGGGAAUCUAGCUUAUGGAGGGGGAUAACUACGGGAAACUGUAGCUCAUACCGCGUACCAUAGGAUGAGCCCAAGUGGGAUUAGGUAGUUGGGGAGGUAAAGGAGCACCAAGCCGACGAUCUCUAGCUGGUCUGAGAGGCUGACCAGACACACUGGGAGUGAGACAGGCACCAGACUCCGACGGGAGGCAGCAGUGGGGAAUAUUGCGCAAUGGGGGCAACCUGACGCAGCCAGGCCGCGUGAAUGAAGAAGGCCUUCGGGUUGUAAAGUUCUUUCGGUAGCGAGGCGUUAACUACAGAAGAAGCAACGGCUAACUCCGUGCCAGCAGCCGCGGGAAUUC